rnacentral:lncRNA from 1 species
AAAACUAAAAUAGGUUGUGUGUUAGGUUGAAAGUCUAUGGUGAACUCAACUUUCAUGUCCACUAGUAGUUUGAAAAGUUCAUCAGGAAACACAUUCGAGAAGUCUCAGACUACCAAGAUCUCUUGAAUGUAAAUUUUUUUCUUAGUUUGCCUAGUUAGAGAAAACAACCGAGUUAAAGUACUAUGUAAUAAGGAAAUUGCU